rnacentral:sRNA from 1 species
GCCAGGCAUGGUGGUGCAUGCCUGCAAUCUCAGCUACUCAGGAGGCUGAGGCAAGAAGACUGUAAGUUUGAGGACAGCCUCAGCAACUUUGCAGGGCCCUAAGCAAUUUAGGAAGACCCUGCCUUAA